GUAAAACGGGGAGUGGGUUUGUUUUGUUUGUGGCAACCAUUCUUUCCUUGUGAACGAAGCGAAAACUAGCUGAAAAUCCAACUCUGUCGACUGGAAAUGUCUAAAUUACAGUUGUUGCAUGUGUUCUUAAAUGAACGUUUAAAGGCGGCUGCUGUGGAGAUUUUCGGAGCAGUUGAGAAAACGAUAGCGGAGUACCAGGAGGAGAAUUAUCGUCUACGGAGACUACUGCGGAUAACACCGGACAUAAAACCAUGUAAAAUAGCUCGUAUCAUUUCGAUCUAUUCUGCCUUAAAAUUGCAAACAGCAGUAAUUACACUUUUGGUCAACAUUUUGUUGAGAUACUACAAAGCUUGAUUUGUAUGUUUUUCUUGUUACAAAGUGACCUGGUAAAAUUAUUUUCUGUUUAAGAGAAACAGGAGUUUCCAAUUUGCAAUAACUAACUUUAGUUGUUCAGAGAAGGGUGGAAUCUUGCUUCGUUCCUGCAACGCCAUUGUUUACAUUGUUUACAGACAGCUCGUUGCGGACGCUUCCAUAGCCAGGCGUCCUUGAUAAACCAAAUCUAAACUAUUCGGAUUCACCAUAAAGGUUUCCAGUCAAGAAGCAUAUUUAGUAUAUCUACGAACAAUACUUACUAUUAGACGUGUUAAAUGUGCUGUUCCGUUUAAAACAGUUUAUCUACGGUCUCCCAUUUUCCCCCUUUGCCUUUCUAAACCAAACAGUCACUCGAGAGUAAAUUACAAUGUGAUCUCCCACUUCUACAGGCGGAAAAUUAGAGACCCGGGAUAAAAAGCUGUUUUAAACGCAUACUUUUUAGCGAAGGAGACAUUCAACACAUCAAAUUGUAAUUAUUGUUGUAUGCCUCUGUUGACUGUCAAAUGUACGAAUUGUGCUCCGCAAUCUCACACACUUGGUUCAGAGUGCAGUAACUUCACUUACUGCUAUAUGUCUUGUUUUUUUUACUUAGAUUAUGAACUACAAAAUCCAAGUAAAGGAACGGACAUUUUUCAUUAAGAGCUUAAAAAAACAUGCGACAAUAGCAAGCCUAUCCUCUCAUAUUAUUGAACAUGCAACUACUGUAAUGAAGCAGAGAAUGGAAUGCAUCCUUUUCAAACAUUUGACAAAAUGCAAUUUGCAGGAAACCACUCUUCUAAAAGACGCACCUGAUAAGAACAGAUUAAUGUGACCGAGAUUAACAUUUUCAUUCGAAAUUUAGAGGGAAAAUGUAAAUGUGCAACAACUAGGAAGGGUUGUUACUAUGACUAGGAUUGUGACUUUGGCAUCUUGACAACGAAAGAAAGUUUAUAUAAAAACCAGUAGAACAUGAGGCUGUGAAACGUCUUGCACCUCUCACCCACUGCUCCCUGUAGCCUGCCUAGCAACGAGUCUCGGCUCACUGACAGCCAUUAGUUGACAUAAGAAAGCACAUUUAACUCCAACUCACUGUACAUUUAAUAUUUUCGGCUAAAUAACAAUUACCCGUCGACCAAGACACUGUGUCUGUUUUAAGACCGAUUUUGUUAAAUUCGGACACCAAUUUAAUUCCACAGAAUUAUGCAAGUUCAGCGAUAGACUGAUAAGCAUGAUGGUCAAAUGUAUUUUCAGUGACUAAUGGUCAACUUUUAUUAACAUCCCUACUGCAGUUACUGUGGUUUGCCUUGCUAUUCUACCGGGUUCCGAGUUCAGGCCAUCCUGAUCAUAAUCAGGCACACACCAUAAUACUGGCAGUGAUCCAGUUAUCACCAGAAUAAACAUACCACAGUCCUGCGCAAACAAUUACGAUAGAACUGCGAAUACCCAUACAUGGUGAGAAAGAUAUAACAAAAUAUGUAAAAGCUAGCUAAGAUAAAGCAAAUGACAAGAGUUAUAAUGAUAGUUAUACAAUGUGAAAUAUUUAUUAAGUAAACAUUCUCUGUGAUUAAAUAUUUCUUAUGGUGAAAAAGGUAUUGAGGGUUACUUAAAUACAACAUUCAAAACGUGAAAACAUGACUACAUAAAGCCUUUAAAUACAGUUGGAAUGUAAACUCAGCAAAAAAAGAAAUGCCCCUUUUUCAUGACCCUGUCUUUCGAAGAUAAUUUGUAAAAAUCCAAAUAACUUCACAGAUCUUCAUUGUAAAGGGUUUAAACAUGGUUUCCCAUGCUUGUUCAAUGAACCAUAAACAUUUAAUGAAUAUGCACCUGUGGAAGGUCGUUAAUACACUAACAGCUUACAGAGGGUAGGCAAUUAAGGUCACAGUUAUGAAAACUUAUGACCCUAAAGAGGCCUUUCUACUGACUCUGAAAAACACCAAAAGAAAGAUGCCCGGGGUCCCUGCUCAUCUGCGUGAACGUGCCUUAGGCAUGCUGCAAGGAGGCAUGAGGACUGCAGAUGUGACCAGGGCAAUAAAUUGCAAUGUCCGUACUGUGAGACACAUAAGACAGCGCUACAGGGAGACAGCACGGAUAGCUGAUCGUCCUCACAGUGGCAGACCAUGUGUAACAACACCUGCACAGGAUCGGUGCAUCCGAACAUCACAUCUGCGGGACAGGUACAGGAUGGCAACAACUGCCCGAGUUGCACCAGGAAUGGACAAUCCCUCCAUCAGUGCUCAGACUGUCCGCAAUAGGCUGAGAGAGGCUGGACUGAGGGCUUGUAGGCCUGUUGUAAGGCAGGUCCUCACCAGACAUCACCGGCAACAACGUCGCCUAUGGGCACAAACCCACCGUCGCUGGACCAGGCAGGACUGGCAAAAAAGUGCUCUUCACUGAUGAGUCGCGGUUUUGUCUCACCAGGGGUGAUGGAAUGAUGUGUUUAUUGUCGAAGGAAUGAGCGUGACACGAGGCCUGUACUCUGGAGCAGGAUCGAUUUGGAGGUGGAGCGUCUGUCAUGAUCUGGAGCGAUGUGUCACAGCAUCAUCGGACUGAGCUUGUUGUCAUUGCAGACAAUCUCAACGCUAUGCGUUGCAGGGAAGACAUCCUCCUCCCUCAUGUGGUACCCUUCCUGCAGGCUCAUUCUGACAUGACCCUCCAGCAUGACAAUACUGGAGGGUCAUACUGUUUAUUCUGUGCAUGAUUUCCUCCAAGACAGGAAUGUCAGUGUUCUGCCAUGGCCAGCGAAUAGCCCGGAUCUCAAUCCCAUUGAGCACGUCCUGUUGGAUCGGAGGGUGAGGGCUAUGGCCAUUCCCCCCAGAAAUGUCAGUGAACUUGCAGGUGCCUUGGUGGAAGAGUGGGAUAACAUCUCACAGCAAGAUCUGGCAAGUCUGGUGAAGUCCAUGAGGAGGUGCACUACAGUACUUAAUGCAGCUGGUGGCCACACCAGAUACUGACUGUUAGUUUUGAUUUUGACCCCCCCUUUGUUCAGCAACACAUUCCAUUUCUGAUAAUCACAUGUCUGUGUAACUUGUUCAGUUUAUAUCUGUUGUUGUAUCUUGUUAGGUUCAUACAAAUAUUUACACAUGUUAAGUUUGCUGAAAAUAAACGCAGUUGGCAGUGAGAGGAUGUUUCUUUUUUUGCUGAGUUUAGUUAGAACUCUCAAACUCUUUCCAUCAAAAAGAAAAGCAACAAGAAAGUUGUUUCAACACAUUUAGAUUGUAGAUACUGCACCUUUCUUUUGCAUUACCCAUACAGUUGUUUAAGGUCAUACAAAAGGCAGAGUGCAGUAUCAGCAUAGGGGUCAGAUCAGUGGUCAGGGUUGAUAUGCAGAAUAAAUGAAUUUAUAAUAAGACCAUCAAUGCAUGAUCUUACAUUGCCUUCAGAAAGUAUUCACACCCCUUGACGUUUUCCACAUUUUCUUGUUACAAAAAGGGAUUAAAAUUAAUUUAAUUGUAAUUUUUCAAAGAUCUACAGUGGAUGAAAAAUUCUAACUUAUUUUUUAAAGAUAAAAAAUACAACUAAUAUAUCUAAUAUAUCUUCAUUAGAUAAGUAUUCGACCCCCUGAGUUAAUACAUGUUAGAAUCACCUUUGGCAGCGAUUACAGCUUUUUUUUGGUCAACACACCUGGAUUGUACAAUAUUAUUUGCACUUUUUUUUUUUAACUCCUCAACCUCUGUCAAGUUGGUUGUUGAUCAUCGCUAGAUGGCCAUUUUCAAGUCUUGUCAUAGAUUUUUUUUUUAAAGUCAAAACCAACUAGGCCACUCGGGAACAUUCAAUGUUAACUUGACUCCUUGCAGCUCUCUCUCGCUAUUUCUGAAGAGAAUAUUCCCUGUGAGCAGCAACACUUUGAGCAGGAGUGGAGCCCCAGUCUGGGGCAGGAGGACCCAGAGCCCACACAGAUUAAACAGGAACAUGAAGAACUCAGGCCCAGUCAGGAGGAAGAGCAGCUUCAAGGGCAGGAGGUUGACAUCAUAGAGUUCAAAUUACCUCAUCUUUAUUUAAAAAGUGAUUGUGAUCAGGUGAACCCUCUUCAUUCCUUGACUCUUCCCCAAACCCAGACAGUGGAGAACAGAGAGAGUGCCUCUAAAUCAGUGGAUCUCAUACCGUUUGUCACUGUUACCCACCUGAAGAGUCUUGACAUUCCCUGUGACACUCCAGAUAAUCAAAACAAUGCCUACAGUCACAGCUCAGCUGUAAGCAGUGACCCAGUAGGACUUGACAGUAGCCCACCAUUGGAUCCCAUCCCAUCAAUGGGGGAACACUGUUGCAAACCCAACACCUUGUCUAGAAAUACUCUCAGCUGCUGUGACUGUGGUGAAACGUUUGCUCUGAAAGCUGAUCUUCAGGAGCAUGUGACUCUCGCCAAGAAGAGACCCAGCGAAUGCUGCCUCUGCAAAAAACGGUACAACUCCACCUGUAAAUUGAAGGCCCAUGUCAGACUCUGUCACGUGGAGAAACCCUCCACCUGCCCCUUUUGUGGAAAGACCUUCAAACUCAAAGGAGAUCUGUCCAGGCAUACGAGGAUUCACACAGGAGAGAAACCAUUUAGCUGUGGAGACUGUGGUAAGAGUUUCAAUCAGAAGGGACACCUAACUGAACAUAUAAGGACUCACACAGGAGAGAAACCAUUUAGCUGUGGUGACUGUGGGAAAAGCUUCAUUCAGAAGGGGGACCUAAGGAGGCACGUACUGACUCACACCGGAGAGAAACCAUUUAGCUGUGGUGACUGUGGGAAAAGCUUUAAUCGGAAGGGGAACCUGAACUUGCACAUACUGACUCACACAGGAGAGAACGUCCGCAAAUAAAGAAACAAGUAAAAAAACAGAAUGAAAACACAAAGAGGAAACUAAUUAGGACAAAGACAUCUUGUCUGAAGAUGGACAAUACGCUUUGGAAACUCUAGAUCAUUCAUUCAUUCUCUGGAUUUCAGACAAAUAGAUGUCAUGAAUUUACUUUUGUAAAAUGUGUAAAAUGUAUAAAAAAAAGAAGUUUGAUUUGAUCUAACACUACAGAGUAGUUGAAAACUCAUGGUCUGCUGUUCAAAGUCUCUUGUAGUAUUCACUUCAUUAUAAACAGGAAUUCCUGGUCGUUUGUUUUAAGAAUGUCUGGAAAAUAUAAAAAUGUAUACGCCA